rnacentral:snRNA from 1 species
GUGCUCGCUUCAGCAGCACAUACACCAAAGCCGGACCGAUACGGAGAUUAGCAUGACCCCUGCGCAAGAAUGACACACACAACUGUGAAGCGCCCAUAUUUAAA